rnacentral:SRP_RNA from 1 species
UAUCGGUCUCCUCGCAUCGUGACGCUGUAAACCCCGUCAGGCCCGGAAGGGAGCAGCGGUAGCAGCGGUAGCGAGUGCCGGGGUAUGGCUGGUACGG